AGCUAUGGUAAUCCACAUUGCACAGCAAAUAUGGUUUUAAUAUUAAUAUGGUAAUAAUUAAUAUGGUAAUUGCACAUUGGACAGCCUUGCUUCUUCCAUCAUCAGAAGAGAUUCUCAACUCACCUGAUGUGUUGCCUUGGCAAAAUAGACAUUUAUCAGAGGAAUAACUGCGCUAGGAGAUAUACUUUCCUCCUUACGUUUUGAACCAGAUGAGGUUGUUGAAGCCAUUGACAAUUGUGUGCCUUAAUAUUUUUAAUACUGCAUUAUUAUAUUUAUAACAUGUACUAUGAACAUUAAAAAUUCAACACUACAUUAAAUCAAUAUUUCUUUGCCCCUCUCAGAAUGAAAAUAUAAUUCGAAUUGUUUGGUGUCUUGUAUUAAGACUAUUAUGUGCUACAGUGAUUACAUUAUUUUAACUUGACAUGUAUGAAAGAGACAAAUCAAAUAGGGGUAAUCAUAGUUUCAAACAAAGACACCCAAUAAGCUAUAAAAAUAUCAAGUAUCCAAGCGAUAUAUGAUGAAAACUAUUUUAGUUAUAACAAUAAUAAGGAAAUAAUAUGUUAAUAAAUAUAUAAUACAAACUUUAUGUGUCUUCGUCGCCUGUUUUGUUUGAUAAAAACCUUGUUUCAAUCGAUCUUUCGAGCAAAGAAUUACCAUUUUAUUGCGCAUUAUUUCCAUAUCCUUCGGCAUGCGCGGGCUCAGUUUUCUAGUUAAAUCAAUCCUAUUGGUCACAAUGAAAUAUUUU